GGAGGCGGCGAGCGGUCCUCGCGGAGAAGGCCCCUCCGCCACGCCCGCCUCCCGGCGGGUGCCUGGCACCCAGGCCAAGGCCUCUGGGCGUCCGAGGGUGCAGGGGCGACUGCAGGGGAUUGCUGGCCUUCACGAAGUGACCGCUGUAGGCAGCGCAGUCUCAGCCGCGGGUGCCCUUUCCAGGGUCACCGGAGCAGGACAGAGCUGGGGGCGGGGGCGGCGCGGCCGGUGGGAACGGUAGGCGUGAGUGGGGCGUGGGUGGAAGCGGGACGCCCCCAUCCCCUUCUCCAGGCAGCUGGGUGGGACCUAGGCUGCCCGCACCUGGCCCGCCCUCAGGGCCAGAUCCUGGGUUUCCACCUGCCAGGCCUCUCCUCGCCCACCUCUCUUCCCGACAACCCACACAGCUCCCAGCUGCCUUCCCCCAGCCAGAGCCCUCUUUGCACAGUGAUAACCAGACCAGGUCGCUCCCUCAAGGUUUCCACCGUCCUUGCCUGCUCUGACCUGGGCUGACCCCACCUCUCCAGUUUGAUUUCGUUUGUCGUAAUUACAGUUUGGUGGUUUCUUCUUGAGAAGGGGGUCUCUGAUACCUGGGCUGGAGUGCAGUGUCACGACCAUGGCUCCCUGCAGCCUCGAAUUCCUGGACUCAAGCGAUCCUCCCAGCUCAGCCUCCCGGAUAGCCGGGACUACAGGAAGACCCAAGGGAAAGGAGUGAGGGUGUCUGGAAGCAGGCUGGGGGCCACCCCUCCACAGGAGAGAGGUCUGGCUCCUCUGGCAAACCCUGCAGCCCCAGGCAGGCUCCCAGCAGGCGUGGGACUGAAGACUGGGGAAGCAUCCUUCCCGACUCUGGGAAUCUGGUCUUCCCUGGCAAAUCCUGGGCAACCCCACAACCCUUCUCUGUCACAGUGGCCCUGGGGUCAGCAAGCCACUGUGAGGCCAGUGAUGCCUUUCCACUCCAGCCUUGUCAACAGAAAAGACGGAAUUAUGAGUGGACAGAUGAAGAAUGCUGAGUUACUAUUCGUCUCCUGAUCCUUCCCUCCUGAUGACGAAGACUGAAGGUGUAGACUCAGACUCACUCUUUACAAGAGCCAGGUGAGAAUUUCAAGGAUUAUCAACUUUGUAUUGUACGUUUAAGUUACAAAUUAAAGUGGCUUGGUCAAGAAUGA